rfam:Gossypium raimondii chromosome 7, whole genome shotgun sequence.
AUGCCGUGAAGAGGGCACUUUUGUAAUAACUCCUUGAACCGUUCCCAUGCCUCAUAUAAGGAUUAUUUAUUAAGUUGCUGAAAUAAAGUGAUUUCAUUUCGGAUCUU